GGUAGCAGUAAAUAUGAUGAUAAUGUCAGGGUGAAAAAAAAGGCCUGUGCCAUCAGGGUGAAGGUGCCCUGGAAAUAACCAAGGAGGCUGAGGAGGGAAUGAUGGAGACGGAAGAGCACUGCAGCCGAGAGACCUGCCUGGCAAAGGCCCCGAAUGUGUUCAAGGCAGCACGAGGGCUGUGGGGCUUGGAUGACAUGACAAGCUGGAGAGUGUCAGGUGGACCUGAGAGCCGUGGGUUUGUUUAAUCUAAGUGUGAGCCGGGAAACCGGGUGUUUGGACUCUAGAAGGCGCCCUCUGGCGGCCACGUGAGGAAUAGACCGGAGUGGGACAAGGGCGGAAAUCAUGAGAAGGGCCACUGGGCGUCCAGGCAAGAGGCGAGGGUGGCUUGGACCAGGGAGGUGGUGGUGGAGGACGUGAGAAAUGCCAGGCCGUGGAUGUGUUUUGUAGAGUGGGCCUAUGUGCUGAUGGAUUCACUGAGGAGUCAGAAUGUUGCCAAGGUUUUGUUCAUAGCAACUUGGCAAACAAAGGGGUCAUUGAGUUAAGAUGGGGUGGCCAUGGGAGGAGUGGGUUUGCAGGGUUAGGAAUCCAGGCUUUUGGUCUGGACAUUUCAGGCAAGAUGCCUGUUGGAUGUGGAGAUGUCCAGUGCCUGGCAGGACAGAUGCAUUGGGAGCCAAAGGGAAGGGUCCAGGCUAGAGACAUAAAUGUGGCGUUGUCCAAAGGCAGCCAGUUGCAAUCAAGUUGAUUCCAACUCAUGGCAACCCCCCGCUCCCCGGUGUCAGAGUAGAACUGUGCUCCAUAGGGUUUUCCUAGCUGUGAUUGUUCACAAAUAGAUCACCAAGCCUUUCUUCCAAGGUACCUCUAGGCGGACUUGAACUGGCAAUCUCUUGGUUACCAGUUGAGAGCUUAACCAUAUGCACCACCCAAGGAUUCCUUGUACAAAUGCAAAAAUGGUAUUCAAGGCAGUGGGUGGUCACCAAGGGAAGGAAUACAGCCCAAGACGAGGCUGGGACCAAGCCUGGGGUCCCUCUAACCUACAGCAGAGCUGCCUCUGCCUCUGCCUUGAGCUUUGUGACCUUCCAUUAUUGCCUCCGCAUACCAGACGCAGGACCUGGGGGAGGCGAGAGGCAGGAAGACGCCAUCCUGCCACACACCUGUUACCCUCCAGACCUUCCCAGCCCUGCCUCACCCCUGCCGUGCCCAGCUUUGUUGUUCUUGCUUUGAUCACAUGCUCAGGCCCUCCUUCCCCUCUCUGCCCCCACACCCCCAGCCAGCAGCCCGUUCUGAGACUUCCUGCACAAGCAGCCAAAGCACCCUCGACUUCUUCUUUGUCGUUUUAACCACAGGCCUGCCGGUCCCCACCCUGCCAUCAAGACCUGCAGACCCACCCUGUCCGCCCCUAGGCUGCAAAGACAGUGGGAGACGGCCCUCUGGGCAAACUCCACCUUCAGCCUCAGCAAGGGCCCAGACCCCUCAGUCAUCCCCUCACUGACCCCUAGUUGGCGCCCUUUCGCUCCCAAACCAGCACCAUUCUCCGCAAACCACCAGUCCUGCCUGGUUCCGAUGACCUCAGCUUCUACCUCACCGGAAUCCGUCUAAAGUUGGCCAUGUCCCCUGCCAGAGUCCUUCCUCUCCUGUUCUCCGGCUCUGGGUCAGGCUGUGUGUCCACAUGGCGCCGCCUCCACUAACUGGCUGUGUGGCCACAGCAAGCAGCUUCCCCGCUCUGUGAACUGGUCUCCCCCGUUGCUGAUGGCAGCACCUUCCUCACUGGUAGUCACGAGGACCAGGUGAGAUGAGACGUGUACAAUCCCUGGGACAGUGGCCAGCAAGUCAUCAGCACUCAGAGAAGUGGCAGCAACUUCUUUCUCCUUUUCACCUGGAAUCCCCCAUCUUACAAAGAAAGGACCACUGGACCUUGUGUCUAUUCUCUUCCCCCCACCCCCUUCUCAGCCCACGCUGUCUCUUCUCCCUCACCUACCAGAAAACUCCUCAACCAUGGCCAUCUGGUUUCCUUUAUGGUCCGGCUGGAGCGAGACUGGACCCAGAUGUUAAUGGACAAGAUGGCAGACCAGGACUUGAGCCAAGUAGGGCUGGGGACCAGAAGGCCCAGUGAACCAAGGACACAUUUGGGAGUUAAGUCUACAUACUUGGGACACUUCCACUGUAGUAUCCUCCUGGGGCUUGGCCCACUUCUCUGGAUUAGGGCAUGUUUUUAUAGGCAGAUAAUGUCUUUAGUUGCCAUCAAGUUGGCUCUGACUCAUGGCACCCCGUGUACAACAGAAGGAAACGUUUCCCGAUCCUGCACCAUCUUCGUAAUCGUUGGGUUUUCAUUGCCUAAGAAGUGGAUCACCAAGCCUCUCCUCCUAGUCUGUCCAGUCUGGAAGCUCCGCUGAAACCUGUCCACCAUGGGCGACCCUGCUGGUAUUUGAAAUACUGGUGAUGUAGCUUCCAGCAUCACAACAACACACAAGCCCCACAGUAUGACACACUGACAGGUAGGUGGUCAUAGGAGCUCAUCAAAGUCUACUGCCUUCCCACUGUCACUGCACUGAAGCUGCUCUCUCAAAGGCCAUCCAUGACUUCUAGAUUUCUAAAUCCAACAGUCACUUUUGAUCCCUGUAUUAGCAUGUUUCUAUCAAAUGUGUUGCUGUUUUCAUUAGGUGAGUCGGUUCUGACUCAUAGUGACCCUAUGUACAACAUAACGAAAUACUGCCCUGUCCUGCGCCAUCCUCACAAUCAUUGUUAUGCUUGAGCACAUUCUUGCAGCCACUGUGUCAGUCCAUCUCAUCGAGGGUCUUCCUCUUUUUUACUGACCAUGUUCUUUACCAAGCAUGAUGUCCUUCUCCAGGGACUGAUCCCUCCUGACAACACGUCCAAAGUAUGUGAGAAGUAGUCUCGCCAUCCUUGCUUCUAAGGGGCAUUCUGGCUGUACUUAUUCCAAGACAGAUUUGUUCGUUCUUUUAGCAGUCCAUGGUAUAUUCAAUAUUCUUCUCCAACACCACAAUUCAAAAGCAUCAAUUCUUCUUCCAUCUUCCUUAUUCAUUGUCCAGCUUUCACAUGUGUAUAACGUGAUUAAAAACACCAUGGCUUGAGUCAGGCACACCUUAGUCCUCAAGGUGACAUUUUGGCUUUGCAACACUUUAAAGAGGUCUUUUGCAGCAGAUUUGCCCCAAUGCAAUGCAUCUUUUGAUUUCUCGACUGCUGUUUCCAUAGGUAUUGAUUAUGGACCCAGGUAAAAUGAAAUCCUUGACAACUUCGAUCUUUUCUCCAUUUAUCAUGGUGUUGCUUAUUGGUCCAGUUGUGAGGAUUUUUGUUCUCUUUCAAAUAUAUCUCUAUCGAAUGUAGGCACCAGAAACCACUCUAGGUAACUUAAGAAGACAGGGACUUAACACAGGUAUCUAGUAAUCCAGUGCUGCUAUAACAGAAAUACCACAAGUGGAUGGCUUUAUCAAACAGAAUUUUACUCUUGCACAGUUUAGGAGUUCAGGAGUCCGAAUUCAUCGCACCAGCUCAAGAGGAAGGCUUUCUCUCUGUCAGUUCUGAGCAAAGGUCGUUGUCAUCAAUCUUCCCACAGUCUAGGAGCUUCACAAUGCAGUGACCCUGCGUUCAAAGGACGCAAUCUGCUCCUGGCACUACCCUUUUGGUGGUAUGAGGUCUCCCCGUCUUUCUGCUCACUUCUUUCUUUUCUAUCUCAAAGAAGACUGACUCAAGAUACAACCCAAUCUUGCAGAUAGAGUCCUGCCUAAUUAACAUAACUGCCUCUAAUUCUGCCUUAACAUCCUAGAGGCAGGAUUUACAACACGUAGGAAAAUCACAUCAGAUGACAAAAUGGUGGACAAUCACACAACGCUGGGAAUCAUGGCCCAGCCAAGUUGACAUACAUUUUGGUUGGGGGUGGGGGGCACAAUUCAAUCCAUAACAAUAGGGAAUUAGGUGCUUCCUAAAUAAUUGGAAAUGCCAGGGAGUGUGCUCUGGGAGGGGUCUCCAGGAAUAACCCCCAGAACCACAGAACUGGUCAACAGGAGCGGCUACCAAGGCCACGACCAGGCAGAGAGAUAUCUGACCAGUUGUCAUUGAGUGGACUCUGACUCCUGGCAACCCCACGUGUGUCAGAGUAGAACUGUGCUCCACAGGGUGUUCCAUGGUGAGUUUUUGGAAGUAGAUAGUGACCCUGGAUGAGAAACUACUUUCUGGACCUCAGUUCCUCAUCUGUAAGGUGGGAAUAAUCAUAUGUAUUUCACUGAACACUUGUGAACAUUAGAAAUCAGAUCAAUAGAUACUUUCUUUUCUAACAAUUUAAGUAUUACGUAAAUAAUUUUUAAAGGUGAAAAUAUAUCAAAUGGGAGGUGUGGGUGUUGAAGGGAUGGUGGAGGCCACACACUUAGGAAAUGGGCAACUAGGAUGUGAACUCAGGCCAUGAGAAUGCAGGAUGCAGGCUCUGAACCACUAUUGGACAUGGACAGACGGAUGGACGGCGAAGGGAGGGAGGGAUGGAAAGAUGGAUGGCAGAGAGGGAGGAACGUGAGGUGUAGACAGGUGAACAGCCACCGGGUCCACAGUCAGGAGGACGCCAGGCCAAGCUUGCUCUGCACUCAGGCACUCCCAUCUCUACCCCCUGCCUUCCCACUGCUAGGGCUGGGACUAGGGUCGGGCUACUGAAGCACUUACCUCGGGAGCUGCAUUUAGGGAGGAGCUGAAGAUCUCAGUAGUCAAGAGAAAUAAUAUUUUAAUGUCAUAUUUUAAAAAAAUCAAAAUUAAUGCAAAAAAAAUCAUGAUGAACAAAAUCCAUUGCCAUCAAGUCGAUUCCAACUCCUAGCAGCUCUCUCAGACAGAGCGGAAGCGCCCCAAAAGAUUUCCGAGGCCGUAAAUCUUUACGGAAACAGACUGCCACGUCUUUCUCCUGCCGAGUGGCUGGUGGGUGUAAACCGCCAUCCUUUCCCUUAGCAGCCAAGUGCUUUAACCGCUGCGCCACCAGGGCUCCUUAGGAUGAGCAAGAUAUCAAAAUUUUAAACAAAGACAGGAUCCAAGCGUGCAAUGGUAUGACCCGACCUCACUCUCGGCCCCCAAUCCCAGCCCUGUCAGAUCCCGUCUUUAUUUUAAAUUUUGUUCAUGGCUGAUUUUUUUUUCACAUUAAUUUUGAUUUUUUUUAAAUAUUACUUAAAAAUAUUAUUUGACUACUAAGUUUAUUGGAUCCGCCUUAAGUUUUGCUCCCAAGGCGAGUGCCUCACCGCCUCACCUAGUCCAGGCCUUACCUAGCAACCCCAGCAGCCCUCUAACCCCCAUUACCGCUUGCCCCCAACCCAGCACCAUCAUCGCCCAUCUGCUCCCUGAGGCCAACAAUGGUGAGUCAGGGAGGGAUGUGGUGAGAAACGCAAAGCAGGAAGGGGAAGUGGACCUGCCACAUUCUUUCCAGCCCCCAGCAGGCCUUGGCCCUUGGCACUUAGCCCUCAGGGGACGCAGAACCCCCCGUACAAAGGAGCAGUACCAGGCCGCGAAUACUUUGAGCAGCAUCCCGCGGCUACCACGGGGGGGUGCCCGUGAGCUGAUUUUGAUCUCUGAGGAAGCCAUGAAGCAGGCCUGGAAGGAGCAGCCAGACUCCUCCACCUGUCUCCCUGUCUGACAGCUCCUUGCCGCCCAGGCUAGAAGAGCUGAAGAGCCCCUGACUGAGCCCUCCUGCUCAGGAGAGAGGUGGGUACGAGCACUGGCUGUCGCCACGCUAACCACAUUACAUGGAUUCUUUCACUUAACCCCUCCUACACCUUGUGGGAGGAACUGUCAUUAUCUCCAUUUUACAGAUGGGGAAACUCAGGCACUGUGGUAGAGACAGCUGGUAGUGAGAGAGAAGAAUCCACAAUGACCACGGAGCUCCAGGGCCUGAACUAACUGUUGGGUGGAGGCCCUGCCCCGCAGCCUCAGCCCCUUCUAUGUCUGUCUCCAUAACCCCCAUGCCUCACAUGGGGUCUGGUCUGGAGUGGCAAGAGCAUUCUAGGGACGUCUAAGGAAUAAAUGAGCCAACUGUCCCAUUUUAUAGAAGAGGAAACCAAGGCUUAGCAUGGCUGAUAACACACACCUGUGUGUGUGGUAAAGAUACAUGCAACAAAACAUUUGCCAUGUCAUCCAUUUUUAUGUGUGCAGUUCAGUGACGUUAAUUCCAUUCGUCAUGUUGUACAACCUUCAUCUCUACUCAUUUACAGAUGUUUUCAUCACACUUAACAGGAAGUCAAUGUCCCUUAAGCAAUACCGCCCCAGGUGUGGGUGUUGAAGGGGCGGUGGAGGCCACACACCCUUCUACCCAUCCCAGGAAACCACUAAUAAACUUUGGCCUUUAUGUAUUUGCCUAUUCUAGAUAUUUCAUAUAAGUGAGAGGCUACAACACUUGGCCUUUUGUGUCUGAGUUAUUUCACUCGGCAUGAUGUUUUCAAGGUCCAUCCGUGUCAUACCGUAGAUCGGAGCUUUAUUCCUCUUCAUAAAUUUUUUUUUUUUUUUUUUUUUUAGCUGAGUGAUACUUCAUUGCAUGUAUAUACCACAUGUUGUUUAGCCAUUCACCUGUUGAUGACAUCUGGGUUGUUUCCACCUUUUGUCUACUGCAAAUAAUGCCACAGUGGACACGGGUGUGCCAGUAUCUGUUUGGAUCCCUGCUUUCAAGUCUUUGGAGUAUAUACGUAAUUCUGUGUUGAACUUUUUGAGGCACUGCCAAGCUGUUUUCCACAGAAGCUGCACCAUUUUACAAUCUCACCAACAAUGGAUGGAGGUUCCAGGACUUCCACACCCUCACCAACACUUCUUGUUUCUGUUUUUCUGAUAAUAGUCAUCGUAGCCGGGGUAAAGUGGCACCUCAUUGUGGUUUUGAUUUCCAUUUCCCUAAUGACUAAUGCCCCACAUGUCUGUUUGUUGUGCUGUGGUGGCUUGCACGUAGCUGUGAUGCUAGAAGCUAUGCCAUAGGUAUUCAAAUACCAGCAAGGUCACCCAUGGUGGGCGGGUUUCAGCUGAGCUUCCAGACUAAGACAGACUAGAAAGAAGGACCUCUUGGUCUACUUCUGAAAAAAAUUAGCCAGUGAAAACCUCAUGGAUAGCAGUGGAAGGUUGCCUGAUAUAAUGCCGGAAAACGAACCCCUCAAGUUGGAACCAAAACCAAACCAAACCCAUUGCCAUCGAGUUGAUUCCGACUCAUAGCAACCCUAUCAGACAGAGGAGCAAUGUCCCGUAGGGUUUCCAAGGAGGAGCUGGUGGAUUCAAACUGCAGAUCUUUUGGUUAGCAGCUAUAGCUCCUAGCCACAAGGCCACCAGGGUUUCCUCAGAUUGGAGGGCACUCAAAAUGCUUUUGGGGAAGAACUGCCUACUCAAAGUAGAGUCAACCUUAAUGGUGUGGAUGGAGUCAAGCUUUCUGGACCUUCAUUUGCUGAUGUGGCACAACUCAAGAUGAGAAAAAAAAGCUGCAAACAUCCGUUAAUAAUCAAAACAUGGAAUGUAUGAAGUAUGAAUCUAGGAAAAUUGGAAAUCAUCAAGAAUGAAAUGGAACACAUAAAGAUUGAUACCCUAGGCAUUAGUAUGCUGAAAUGGCCUGGUACUGGCCAUUAAGAAUUGGAAAAUUAUAUAGUGUACUAUGCCAGGAAUGACAACUUGAAGAGGAAUGACAUUACAUUUACCAUCAAAAAGAACAUUUCAAGAUCUGUUCUGAAGUACAACUCUGUCAGUGAUAGGAUAAUAUCCAUAUGCCUACAAGGACGACCAGUUAAUAAACUAUUAUUCAAAUUUAUACACUGACCACUAAGGCCCAAGAUGAAGAAAUUGAAGAUUUUUACCAACUUUGCAGUCUGAAAAUGAUCAAACCUGCAAUCAAGAUGCAUUGAUGAUUACUGGUGAUAGGAAUUCAAAAGUUAGAAACGAAGAAGAAUCGGUAGUUGGCAAAUAUGGCCUUGGUGGCAGAAAUGAUGCGGGAGAUCACAUGAUAGAAUUUUGCAAGACCAACGACUUCUUCAUUGUUGUUGUUGUUGUUAGGUGCCAUUGAGUCAGUUCUGACUCAUAGUGACCCUGUGUUCCACAGAACAAAACACUGCUUGGUCCUACACCAUCCGCAUAAUUCUUGUUAUGCUUGAGCCCAUUGUUGCAGCCACCGUGCCAGUCCCUCUCAUUGAGGGUCUUCCUCUUUUCUACUGACUCUGUAUUUUACCAACCAUGAUGUUCUUCUCCAGGAAAUGAUCCCGUCUGACAACAUGUCCAAAGUAUGUAAGAGGCAGUCUUGCCAUCCUUGCUUCUAAGGAGCAUUCUGGUUGUACUUCUUCCAAGGCAGAUUUGUUUGUUCUUUUGGCAGUCCAUGGUAUAUUCAAUAUUCUUCGCCAAUGACUUCUUCAUUGCAGAUAUCUUUUUUCAACAACAUAAACUGCAACUGUACAUGUGGACCUCGCCAGAUGGAAUACACGGGAAUCAAAUCAACUACACCUGUGGAAAGAGAUGAUGGAAAAGCUCAAUAUCAUCAGUCAGAACAAGGCAAGGGGUUGACUGCGGUACAGACCAUCAAUUGCUCAUAUGCAAGUUCAGGUUGAAGCUGAAGAAAAUUCGAGUUAAGUCCACUAGAGCCAAAGCACAACCCUGAGUAUAUCCCACCUUAAUUUAGAGACCAUCUCAAGAAUAGAUUUGAUGCUCUGAACACUAGUGAUCAAAGGCCAAACAACUUGUGGAAUGACAUCAAGGACAUCAUACAUGAAGAAAGCAACAGGUCAUUAAAAAGACAGGAAAAAAAGAAAAGACCAAAAUGGAUGUCAGAAGAGACUCUGAAACUUGCUCUUGAACAUCGAGUAGCUAAAGCAAAAUGAAGAAAUGAUGAAGUAAAAGAGCCGAACAGAAGAUUUCAAAGGGUGGCUUGAGAAGACAAAUUAUUAUAAUGACAUGUGCAAAGAGCUGGAGUUAGAAAACCAAAAGGGAGAAACACACUCAGCAUUUCUUAAGCUGAAAGAACUGAAGAAAAAAUUCAAGCCUCAAAUGGUAAUACUGAAGGAUUCUAUGGGCAAGAUACUGAACGAUGCAGGAAGUAUCCAAAGAAAAUGGAAGGAAUACAGAGUCACUCUACCAAAAAAAAAAAUUUUGGUCGAUGUUCAGUCAUUUCAGGAGGUAGCAUAUGAUCAAGAUCUGAUGGUACUGAGGGGAGAAGUCCAAGCUGCACUGCAGACAUUGGUGAAAAACAAGGCUCCAGGAAUUGUCGGAAUACCAAUUGAGAUGUUUCAACAAAUGGAUGCAGCACUGGAAGUGCUCACUCGUCUCUGCCAAGAAAUUUUGAAGACAGCUACCUGGCCAACUGACUGGAAGAGACCCAUAGUUAUGCCUAUUCUAAAGAAAGGUGAUCCAACCGAAUGCAAAAAUUAUCGAACAAUAGCCUUAAUAUCACACACAAGUAAAAUUUUGCUGAAGGUCGUUCAAGAGCAGCUGCAGCAAUACAUCAGCAGGGAACUGCCAGAAAUUCAAGCAGGCUUCAGAAGAGGACGUGGAACAAGGGGUUUAAUACCUGAUGUCAGAUGGAUCCUGGCUGAAAGCAGAGAAGACCAGAAAGAGGUUUACCUGUGUUUUAUUGACUAUGCUAAGGCAUUUAACUGUGUGGAUCAUAGCAAAUUAUGGAUAACAUUGUGAAGAAUGGGAGUUCCAGAACACUUAAUUGUGCUCAUGAGGAACCUGUACAUAGUCCAAGAGACAGUUAUUCGAACAUAGCAAGAGGAUACUGCGUGGUUUAAAGUCAGGAAAGGUGUGAGUCAGGGUUGUAUCUUUUCACCAUACCUAUUCAAUCUGUCUGCUGAGCAAAUACCCUGAGAAGCUGGACUAUAUGAAGGAGAAUAGGGCAUCAGGAUUGGAGAAAGACUCAUUAACAACCUGCAUUAUGCAGAUGACACUACCUUGCUUGCUGCAAGUGAAGAGGACUUGAAGCAUUUACUGAUGAAGAUCAAAGACCACAGCCUUCAGUAUGGAUUACACCUCAACAUAAAGAAAACAAAAAUCCUCACAAUUGGACCAAUAAGCAAAUCAUGAUAAAUGGAGAAAAGAUUGAAGUUGUCAAGGAUUUCAUUUUAUUUGGAUCCACAAUCAACAGUCAUGGAAGCAGCAGGCAAAAAAUCAAAAGAUGCAUUGCAUUGGGCAAAUCUGCUGCAAAAGACGUUUUUAAAGUGUUAAAAAGCAAAGAUGUCACUUUAAGGACUAAGGUGUGGCUGACCCAAGCCAUGAUAUUUUCAAACACUUCAUAUGCAUGUGAAAGCUGGACAAUGAAUAAGGAAAAGGAAGAAUAAUUGACGUCUUUGAAUUGCAGUGUUGGCGAAGAAUAUCGAAUAUACCAUGGACUGCCAAAAGAACAAACAAGUCUGUCUUGGAAGAAGUACAGCCAGAAUGCUUCUUAGAAGCAAGGAUGGCAAGACUUAGUCUCACAUACUUUGGACAUGUUAUCAGGAGGGACCAGUCCCUGGAGAAGGACAUGAUGCUUGGUAAAGUGGAGGAUCAGCAAAAAAGAGGAAGACCCUCAACAAGAUGGAUUGAUUCAGUGGCUGCAACAAUGGGCUCAAGCAUAACAAGCAUUAUGGGGAUGGCGUAGGACGGUGUUUCAUUCUGUUCUAUAUACGGUCGCUAAGAGAACUGACUCGACACCACCUAGUAACAACAACAACAAUGACUAAUGACAUUGAGCAUCAUUUCAUGUGCUUAUGGGCAUUCCUAUAUCUUCCUUGAUGAAAUGUCUAUUCAAGUCUUUUGCCCAUUUUUGUAUUGGAUAUUUUGUCUUUUCAUUGUUGAAUUGUUGGAGUUCUUUAUAUAUGCUGGAUAUUAAACCCUUAUCGGAUAUCCUGUUCUCAAAUAUUUACUCUCAUUCUAUAGAUUGUGUCUUCAGUUUGUUGAUAAAUGCACCCUCUAUUCCGCCAGGUGCUCCUUUGAAACUCUAUGGGGCAGUUCUACUCUGUCCUAUAGGGUCACUAUGAGUUGGAAUCGACUUGACGGGAGUGGUUUUAUUCUGCCUGAGGAGCCCUGGUGGCUCAGUAGUUAAGUGCUCGACUGCUAACUGAAAGGCAGGUGGUUUAAAUUCACCAGCUGCUCCGUGGGAGAAAGAUGUGGCAAAAGGCUUCUGUAGAGAUUACAGCCUUGGAAUCUGUAUGGGGCACUUCUACCCUGUCCUAUAGGGUCACUAUGAGUCGAAAUUGACUCCACGGCAACACGUUUGGUUUUUGGAUUUAUUCUGCCUGAGUUUUUUUGUUUUUGUUUUUUCUUCUUUCUUUCCUCCCCUCCUCCCUCCCUCCCUCCGUCCCUCUCUUCCUCCCUUUCUUCUCUCUUCUAUACUAAAAAUCUGCUUCUCCCAGACGGUCUGCAUAGGCUUCAGCUCCUACAUAUACAAAAGGCUGGGAAUGUGAGAGUAGAAAAUCAGGACCACAAAGAAAAAGAGAAGACAAAUUUGCCAAAUGCUGGGUUUUUGUAGCUGAGCGUCUGAUUUGUCUGAGCUUCCUGGUAACUGGGGUAAAAAGGGAAACAAAGCAAGUUACUCAGACAUCACUUCUGGAAAAGGGGAAACAUGCCAGCUUCUUGCUGAGGUGGUUUUCCUAUCACCACGCUAGAAUAAAGUGCGCCCUUGGCGCUGGUGGAUGGAGCAGUGGGUGACAUUGUGCCUUCAGCAGCAAGCUUAGAAGAAGUUUCUGUGUCUCUGUAAUAACUUCUUUGCCCCAGGCUGAACCCGAGUUCAGAAGCCCAGAGUGUUUCUUGGUGCCUGAGAGAGGAGGACACGUCUCCCUUCCUGGGGUCACAAGCAUUGGAGAACAGUUUUAAAAUAAUGAUUCUAGGCCCUUACACUGGAGAGACUGAAGUUGGUGGCCUGGGAGUUUGUAAUUUAACAGGCCCCCCAGGCGAUGGUGCUGCACAACCAGGUUUGGGAACCCUUGCCUGAAACAGUCCUUUCUACAUCUCAGGAAAACAGACAUAAAAUCAAGGCCCUCCUGUCCACAGGGACCUGGAGCCCUUUAGAAACCAGAUGAAUGGUGGAAGGACCUGCAGGUAGAAGUGACUACCUCCACUGACGCCCCUUCAGGCCUGGACACUUUGCCCUCUAGCCCUCACAAGCCGGCGAAACAUUUAGAAGUAUCCCCAUUUUACAGAUGAGAAAGCUGAGUCUGGGGGAAGCUGCCACAGCUUACAGGCCAGGGGACCCAUCAGAAUCCUCUGAGCUGCCAGGUGACACCUGAGAGACAACAGUCCUCCUGGCUUCGGCACACCUCUGCCCUGUAUAAACACAGCCUGAGCCUUUCAAGAAGCAUGUAUUGAGCGCCUACUGUGCACCAGGCCCUGUUCUAAAGUGCUGGGGAUACAGCUGGGAACCAAACAGAUGCAGCCCUGCCCUCAGCGCCCACAGAGAUGGUUGUGACAAGUUGAUUGUCCAAGCAGGAGAUCCCAGGAAACCCCAGCGCUACCCCAGCGGUAUGGUGACCCACAGGACUCGAACCCAGAACUUGCAGCUGGGUAGCCCUGGCCUUUUCCCCCAUACCCCUGGGACACCAGCACUCUAGAGAUGAGGCCAAAAUGGCAGAAAAGAGGGGUGGAGGACCCAAGAGAGCCCAAGUAAGCAUGGUUAAAGCUCUACAACACUUUUGAACAAAAAAAAAAAAUGGACUCUAUGGUAAAUUGAUGAAACAUAGGUGAUUUGGUGGUAGAAUUCUUGCCUCCUGUGCAGGAGACCCAGGUUCGCUUGCCAGCCAGUGUACCCCCUGGGCAGCCACACCCCUCUGUCAGUGGAGGCUUGCCUGUUGCUGUGAUGCUGAACAGGUUUCAAUGGAGCCUCCAGACUAAGAUGAAAUAGGAAGAAAGGCCUGGCAAUCUACACCUGAAAAUCAGCCAAUGAAACCCUAUGAAUCACAACAGAACAUUGCCAGAUCUGCCACCGAUCAUGGGGAUUGGUGCAGGACCUGGCUGUGUUUCCUUCCAUUACACAUGGGGUCGCCAUGAGUGGGGCCCCCUUGAAGGCAGCUAAAAACAACAAGAUAAAUUGAUUCUGACACACGUUUAAAUACUUAAGUAUCAGAGUUCAGCCUUUAAAGAACUGAUAAAAACUCUAAAGGAGUGGCUUCCGAACAUAACUAGAACCUGGGUCCCAGGUGACUCACCUUGAACCACUAUGAAGCCAAAGUCAGGACCAAGAUCUGGGCUAAAUCUUGGCCUUUAGGUGGUAACUUUCAGCAACCUUCAGACACUCCCUGAACCUCAGUUUCCUGGUCUGUAAAAUGGGGUCUGUCAUGAGUUGAAUUGUAUUCCCCAAAAAUAUGUGUGAACGUGGUUAGGCCAUGAUUCCCAGUAUUGUGUGGUCGCCCUCCACUUUGUGACUGAUAUAAUUUUACUAUGUGUUAUAAAUCUCUGCCUGUGGUUAAUGAGGCAAGAUUGGAUUAUGCUGAAGAGGAUUAGGGUGGGAUGUAAUACCCUGGCUCAGGUUGCGUCAUUGGUCCAAUGUAAGGGGAGUUUCCCUGGGGUGUGGCCUGUACCACCUUUUAUCUUACAAUAGACAAAAGGAAAGGGAAGCAAGCAAAGAGUUGUUGUUAUCGUUGUUAGGUGCCUACAAGUCGGUUCCGACUCACAGCGACCCUAUGCGCAACAGAACAAAACACUGCCCAGUCCUGCACCAUCCUUACAAUCGUUGUUAUGCUUGAGCUCAUUGUUGCAGCCACUGUGUCAAGCAGAGAGUUGGAGACCUCAAACCACCAAGAAACCUGUGCCGGGAGCAGAGUGCAUCCUUUGGACCUGGGGUUCCUGCAUGGAGAAGCUCCUGGUCCAGGGGAAGAUUGAUGAGUAGUACCUUCCUCCAGAGCUGACAGAGAGAGAGAAAGCCUUCCCCUGGAGCUGAGACCCUGAGUUUGAACUUCUGCCCUACUAGACUGUGAGAGAGUAAACUUUUCUUUGCUAAAGCCAUCUGCUUGUGGUAUUUCUGUUACAGCAGCACUAGAUGACUAAGACAGGGUCUCUUGAGUGUUGACUCAAGUUCAGUCACUCCCUUUUCCUCUCACCACCCCACCCUCACUGCCUCCCCUUCCUCUCCUCCUCCAGUCUGUUGUCCCAGUCUCACUGCUCCCACCCCCAGACCUCCCUGCAGAUAACCUGUCUGAGCUCAGAGGAUCCUGCGCCUCUGCCUGCUACCAGCCUUUGACAUUGCUGACCACUCCAUCCUUCCAGAAAGGUCCUUCUCUCGGAGCCUCCACCACGCCUGGUUUCCUCCUAUCUCUCCAGCUACCCACCUCUGUCCCUGUGGACACCUCCUUGCAGGGCCCCACAGGCUGACACCUUGGUUCCCACUAGCAGCCCCCCACCCCCACCUCCUACCCUAACCAACCCUAAAAAAAAACCUAGAUGCUGGAAACUCCAGGUGCCCAGUUUCUCAGGAUCCCUUGCAUCCAGGGGUGAGCAUGGACCCACCCUGGCCACAUGAGAUUAGAGAGGCCUGGUGGGUGUGGUCAGGUCAGUCUGAGAUGCUAGGGCAGCACCUGGUGACCUUGAGGGGAGGCAUGGCACAGGGAAGUGCUGCUUCAGGCUUGUCAGGGCCCUCAGCCCCAUUUCACCCCAGGACACAGCCACCUCGGCCCACGGCCCACGGGAGGCCUCCCACUUCCUCCAGACCCUACUCCAGUAAGCUUGGGUGGGGGAGGAGAGCCUGGGGCCACCUUCUGCUUGCACAGAGAGUGCCGGUGUGAAUUCACGUCCCCAGCAGAAAAGGCCCCUUACCAAAACUGCUGCCACCAGGGGUGGAAAGAGGAAGUGGGAGCCCGGGAGCAGCUGAGAGGAGAGUGGGAGCUGUGGGGGAGGGGGAAAGAGAUCCAGAUAGAACUGGAUCCAAGCCCAGAUUCACCCCAGUCCUCCCCCCCCCUUCCAUCUGAAGCCCCCAGCCUUUGCUCGGCUCUCCCGCCCAUUGGGAGCACCCUCCUCCUCCCCUUCUCCAAAGGGGGAGGUGCUGCCACUCAAUUCUUCCCUUCUUGCCUUCCUUAGACAAAUAUCCACGACUCAGGAAAGGAGUCCCCUCAGCGAAGCCCUCAGCUCUAGGGUGAGGUUAUUUUUCCAGGCGGAUCAGUACAGUCUAGACUUGUUUGUAUAGUAAAAACAAAAGAAAGUAAAAAGACAAAACUUAACAAAGACGGCAAGAGUGGAUGUCUGUUGUUUGUAUUCACCCACUUUUCCAUCCUUUAAGUGGCUGCCCUGCUCCUUGUGGUUCUGGUGGGGUUGGCCACCCCUGUCACCUGCCUUCUGACCACAGGGCUGGGUGUGUGACCCAGGCCUGAACAAUCAACGUCUUUCCCUGAGAAUUUUUUGGGGGGUGAGAUGGGGGCGGGGUAGAAGCUCUCUCUGAAAUCAAAGGUGAUUUGACCUCAGCCUGGAGCUUUCUGGGGCCAGGUUGGCUGCUCUGAGGAGAAAGCCUGUCCGAAACCAGAGAGAAACAGCCAAGAGACAGGCAAACCGACAGAGAGCACGAGGGAGACAACUAGAGGAGGGUGGGGGAAGAAAAGGGGAAAUUGAGGAAAGAGAGACAGACAGACCUAACAAGAACUUUUGGGGUCUCUGGUAUCUGUAUCCCUAAGGCCAAUGCCACCAGGGACUGAGACAGUAAACUCCAGUUUAGGCCGGUCUGAGUUAAUGUUUAUUUAUAACCAAAAGAUACUCGAAUUCUACCUCAUUAUUCUUCUUCAUGAUUCACAUUGGCCCGUCAUCUGGACACAGCAUCAUUUAUUAACUGGCCGCCCUCUCACAAGCAUUUAAAUGUCUCAGACUCUCCGGUUCUCAGUGGUGCUGGGAGGAGCCUCCAUGUACUCCCAGCUCUCCACCUGUGCGAUUACCUCUUUAGGGGAGAUUCCUAGAGGUGAACUUGCACAUGUGUGUGUUCCUCCACCUCUGCCUUCCCACCCUGCUGUGGUUCACUGGGUCGCUGGCCCUCCUCUGGGCCCAGCUUCCUCUGUCCCAUUGACUGUGCCUUUUGGCCAAACCUGAAGAGGAGCAACAGAUGGAGGGAGUCAGGCCCAUCUGGGGAGCCCCUGUGUUUCUAACGGCCACUCAGAGCUCAGGCCUCACAGGCCAGACCCUCCAUGUCCCAAGACACAGGAACACUCAACUCUGCCACCCUCCCAAGUCCACUAGAAAAAAUGAGACAUCAGAAAAAUUAUGAGGGGGAGGCUCAGAGAUGAUUCAUCCCCCUCCCCCCACACACACACCCUGCCUCCCGCCAGCCCAGCUGAAUCAACCGUGAGCCUCACAAGGCGAGAACAGUGCCUGGUCCUUAGUAGGCCUUCAAUAAACGUCUACUGGAUGGAUGGAUGGAUGGAUGGAC